rnacentral:rRNA from 1 species
GAUUGAACGCUGGCGGCAUGCUUUACACAUGCAAGUCGAACGGUAACAGGCCUUCGGGUGCUGACGAGUGGCGAACGGGUGAGUAAUGCAUCGGAACGUACCCAGAGGUGGGGGAUAACGCAGCGAAAGCUGUGCUAAUACCGCAUGUGAUCUGAGGAUGAAAGCGGGGGACCGAGCAGCAAUGUUUGGCCUCGCGCCUUUGGAGCGGCCGAUGUCGGAUUAGCUAGUUGGUGGGGUAAAGGCCUACCAAGGCGACGAUCCGUAGCUGGUCUGAGAGGACGACCAGCCACACUGGGACUGAAGCACGGCCCAGACUCCUACGGGAGGCAGCAGUGGGGAAUUUUGGACAAUGGGCGCAAGCCUGAUCCAGCAAUGCCGCGUGCGGGAAGAAGGCCUUCGGGUUGUAAACCGCUUUUGGCAGGAACGAAACGGUGUCCGCUAAUACCGGGCGCUAAUGACGGUACCUGCAGAAUAAGCACCGGCUAACUACGUG